rnacentral:rRNA from 1 species
CCCUAUGGGGUGCAGCCGGCACACCAUUUAUUCAGGACCGGGAAAUGAAAAAUCAGUCGACGGCAUUGAUAAUGGGCGGCUUUGUAGUCUUUUUCUGGGCCACGGUUGCCACUGCAUUCAAAAUUGCACUAAACGAAAUAAGCAAUCUGCAACUCCUUUUGAUUGCAUCCUCGACAGCGUUGAUUGUAUGCUUUAUUGAACUGAUCAGGACAAAAAAACUUAAUCUGCUCGGGGAAUCCCUUUUGUCCAAAAGCACAAUAUUCAGAGGAGCCUGGCAGGGACUUAUGAACCCUUUCAUAUAUUAUCUCAUCCUGUUUAAGGGGUACUCUCUUCUUCCGGCACAGAUUGCUCAGCCGCUUAACUUUUCCUGGCAAAUUGUUCUCAUGAUUUUGAUGGCAAUUUUUUUAAAACAGAAAUUGCACUUUAAUCAGGUAAUUGGCGGGGGGGC